AAGUUAACUGUGCAAUUCAGUUUAAUUUGAUAAUUAAACCCUUACUUAAUUUAAUUUUUUUAUUUUGAGAAAAAUC
rnacentral:tRNA from 2 species